GAGUCAGAGCAGGCAGGAAAACGAUGGACUGAGUUUAACAGAAGGGUUUUCAGGUCUUGGCAGCCAUGCUGAUGAGAUGGAUCUGGUUUAUUGUUCCCAUGUCGUUUUGCAUUGAACAAGACCCGUUCUCAGUGGUGGUUCCUCGGGCUCCGGUCUACGGUCUGCUCGGGAGCUCCGUGACUCUACCCUGCUCUAUCUCACCACCUUUAAACGCUGUAAACUUUGAGGUUCUCUGGUUUCGUCCUCAGGAGGCUCACACCCCCAUUCUGUUUUAUCAGGACCUGGAGAUCAGGAAGAAUCCUAGAA